GAUUAAGUUAUUAAGGGCGCACGGUGGAUGCCUUGGCACUAGAAGCCGAUGAAGGACGUUACUAACGACGAUAUGCUUUGGGGAGCUGUAAGUAAGCUUUGAUCCAGAGAUUUCCGAAUGGGGAAACCCAGCAUGAGUUAUGUCAUGUUAUCGAUAUGUGAAUACAUAGCAUAUCAGAAGGCACACCCGGAGAACUGAAACAUCUUAGUACCCGGAGGAAGAGAAAGAAAAUUCGAUUCCCUUAGUAGCGGCGAGCGAAACGGGAAGAGCCCAAACCAACAAGCUUGCUUGUUGGGGUUGUAGGACACUCUAUACGGAGUUACAAAGGACGACAUUAGACGAAUCAUCUGGAAAGAUGAAUCAAAGAAGGUAAUAAUCCUGUAGUCGAAAAUGUUGUCUCUCUUGAGUGGAUCCUGAGUACGACGGAGCACGUGAAAUUCCGUCGGAAUCUGGGAGGACCAUCUCCUAAGGCUAAAUACUCUCUAGUGACCGAUAGUGAACCAGUACCGUGAGGGAAAGGUGAAAAGCACCCCGGAAGG
rnacentral:rRNA from 1 species